AAGAUUUGCCUUCAUGACAAAGAGUGAGGUUGAUCAUCUUGAAGAUGGGUAUAGAUGGAGAAAAUAUGGACAGAAGGCUGUUAAGAACAGUCCUUAUCCAAGGAGCUAUUACAGGUGCACUACUCAGAAAUGUACGGUCAAGAAACGAGUAGAGAGGUCAUACCAAGAUCCAUCCAUUGUGAUUACAACAUACGAAGGGCAACAUAAUCAUCCGAUCCCUGCCACGCUUAGAGGAAAUGCUGCAGCUAUGUUCUCACAUUCUAUGCUUACACCAGCUCCCAUGGGAACUACUAGGCCUACCUUUCCUCAGGACUUUUUGGUUCAAAUGGCACCCCAUAUAAGCAACCAAGUGGGUGCAAACUCUAUGUAUCCACAGAGUCUUAAUAACCAACAUCUUCAUCACCAGUAUCAUCAGGUUCCUGACUAUGGACUUUUGCAAGACAUAGCCCCUUCCAUGUUCUUUAAACAAGAGCCCUGAAAUUAAGUGUUUCUUUCUCAUUUGUACAUAUACAUACUUCAACUACUUGGGUUCAAUUAUCAUCUUCUUCCUGAUUUUUGAGUUAGGUUACCAUAUGACACUUCUUUUCUUGAUACAUCUUGCUUAAUUAUGCCCACUUCGAAUACUACCAAGGAGUGGACUAUUUAUGGUUUUUUUUAGGGAUUGGAGGUGAUCAUGUGCUUGAUGAGAUGCUAUACAGAUCAACAGCGAGAAAAAUGUUUCAGAGAAUCCAAGAAGAAGAUGAGGUCAACCCGUAUAGCGGUUUUUCAAAAACCUAGCGUUAGGAGAUUGCAUCUGCAUGUGCGUGUACUGCGAAAUGCAAUCCCAUUGGAUGCUUUUAUUAUUGUAUGGAAAUGUGAGAAUGAGAUCCUUGGGGAUUUUUCUUCCUUUUAUUUUCUUUUUAAUGAAUGGAAGAAUUUCUCUUUCUUAUUUAUUAU
rnacentral:misc_RNA from 1 species